GACGAACGCUGGCGGCGUGCUUAACACAUGCAAGUCGAACGGAAAGGCCCUGCUUUUGUGGGGUGCUCGAGUGGCGAACGGGUGAGUAACACGUGAGUAACCUGCCCUUGACUUUGGGAUAACUUCAGGAAACUGGGGCUAAUACCGGAUAGGAGCUCCUGCUGCAUGGUGGGGGUUGGAAAGUUUCGGCGGUUGGGGAUGGACUCGCGGCUUAUCAGCUUGUUGGUGGGGUAGUGGCUUACCAAGGCUUUGACGGGUAGCCGGCCUGAGAGGGUGACCGGCCACAUUGGGACUGAGAUACGGCCCAGACUCCUACGGGAGGCAGCAGUGGGGAAUAUUGCACAAUGGGCGGAAGCCUGAUGCAGCAACGCCGCGUGCGGGAUGAAGGCCUUCGGGUUGUAAACCGCUUUCGCCUGUGACGAAGCGUGAGUGGCGGUAAUGGGUAAAGAAGCACCGGCUAACUACGUG
rnacentral:rRNA from 1 species